GGCAAAUCGCCAAAACAGCGCGAAUUAAAAAAAUUUUUUUAGGGCAUUUAAAAUGUUUGAGUGAUUCAACUACUUCCAUUUCCAUACUACAACAUGGUGAUUUUUUUUUCCAUGAAAACGAAAGGGAAAGUGUUUAUUUUUAAGGUUUUGUGAAUUAUUUGAGCUAGCAAAACUGAGAGUAGGGCUACAGUCGCUACAGCUGACAAAGAGGGCUGCAUUCUAAUGACGAUUAUGAAUGUAUCGAGAGGAGCAGUCCCACAAGCUGCUGCAGUGUCCAGAAAUUAAUACAGAUAACACUAGCUAAUAAAAAAAUACAUUAAUCAAGCAUCUAGGUUAGGACAUUUUUGUAUCAUGCCUCUCAGUAGAAUAAGAAUGUGUCAGGAUCUGGACUGUAAUUCAUCCUUUUGUUGACUUUGGGUUUCCUUUUUUUGUCUUUGAGUGUGUCGUGGUAAUAUGUUCCACCUGUGUCUUAAUUGUGCUGUAUAUUUAAGUUGCCCGUUUUGUAGCUGUCUUUGCUCAGCCUUUGUCCUGUCUACCUUGAGUAAGUGCUACCUUGUGAUCUCUUUUGUUGGACUGUUGCUGUGCUUGAAAACUCUCUUGUGUUUAGUUUCUUUUUCUAUGAGUUUUUUGGAUUUAGAAAUUUUUUGGCCUUCCUUGCUUACAUGUUUUUUGGAAUCCAGUUCUUUGUUCUUGGAAAAUCAAAAACCUUUUUUCGCUAGACUUCUGGUGCCUGCCUCUGCUUUUGGGUUCAUCAGUCUUUGAGUCCUAGCCCAGUGGUAGAGCUCUUGACUCUGACCACAAGGACCGGGGAUCGAAUCCUGACCCGGUCCUGACAGAAAGAGCCUAAAAAUGAACCCAGCAGAGGAUAACUAUGCCACCGAGGUUCCUGUCCUACAAAACCUGGUGGCGGCUUUGACCAGUCAGGAUGUUUCGAUGCAACGCCAUGAAGAUAUUCUUGCACGCCAAGAGGCGGCCGUUUCAAGACAUGACCAGGUAUUUGGUGAAAUACUCAAGACCAUCCAGCAUCUUUCAUCACAAAUCCAUGCAGCUACUGUCCCUCUUCCUCCCUCUCCUACGUGCCCAGUCCCAGCCCCAGGUCCCACAGUUGAGCCACACCUUCCAGCCCCAGAGCAUUACAAUGGGAAUCCAAGUGGCUGUCGAGGCUUUCUAAUCCAAUACUCAUUGACCUUCCAGCUUCAGCCCUCCUCGUUUCCCACUGAGCGUUCCCAGAUUGCCUACAUAAUCACCCUGCUCACAGACCCCUGCCUAGCCCAAACACCAAAGAAGUUCCCGAGCCAAUGCAGCUGGGAGGCACUCGACUCUCACCUACAGAACAAGAGAGAAGAAUGAGGGACUGCUCCACCGGCGUCCACCCACCUUUGUUUAAGAAAGAUGGAUAAAGGAGGAAGAAAGGGAGGACAAAGGAGGAGGAUGAGCGAUUACUUUUGUGGGUAAAAACAAUUCUCAGCAUUAAUGACACUCAAUAAACUUGCAUCAAUAGUAUACAUUCUUUUUAAAACAUUGUUUUCUUUAAUUACAAUUAUGUGCACAAUACAUUAAAGAUACAUACUUCAGAUACAUUUUAGAAUGUUUAAUUUAUUCUUUUUUAAUUCAGGGGGUGCACAGUUUUAAUAGACCAUCUUACAUUUGCUCAAUAUAUUGUAGAGUGGAGGCUAAAUCCUCAAAGAGGAGCAGCAGCCCAGCUCGCAGCAGAGCCGGAUCUAGAAGUGGGCAGGGGUGGGCAGUGCCCACCCAAAUUGGUCAACUUCAUUCUGCGCCAUUUGAAUCUGCCAAUCACUUUUAUUUAAUUCGCUCCAUCAGAAUUUCCUGAUUUCUGAUUUACUGGUUGGACAGAAUAAAAUGGUAAAUGGCAAAUGGACUACAUUUAUAUAGUGCUUUUAUCCAAAGCGCUUUACAAUUUAUGCCUCUAAUUCACCCAUUCACACACCAACGGUGAAAGCAAGGUACCAAACAGCUCAUUGGGAGCAAUUAGGGGUUAGGUGUCUUGCUCAGUGACACUUCGACAUGCCCAGGGCGGGGGAUCGAACCGGCAACCCUCCGACUGUCAGACAACCGCUCUUUCCGUCCAACGGUAUAAACAAUAAACAACGGAGAUGUCUUAACUCCAAUAUCAUUCUGCGGAGCAUUUGUAGUCGCCUGUGACAGUGGAGGAGGAAUAUUAGCUCAUUCUUGUUAAAAUGUCAUUUUUAAUUCAUUGUUGCUGUACUUUGUUGUAGUGUUGUGCUGAAUAAGGGUCU